rnacentral:lncRNA from 1 species
UAAGUCCUGCCGUGUUGGAGAGAUCACAAAACAUUCACAAAUGAAUUCUUUUGCUACUUUCCCUGUCCAUAAGACGCAUUUUUCUCCAUUCUUACACUCAAUCUCUCUCUCUCUCUCUCUCUCUUCAUUCUUUUAGAUUCAGAUCUGCUUUCAUUUUCUCUGUGGUUCUUCCUUCCUAAACAGAUCAAUAUUCUGAUUUCUUCCUAAUUUCAAAUUACAAUGACAUAGGUUUGAAGAGUUUCUGUGUUUGCUGAAUGAUUUGUGCUUUCGAUGAAUUUUUUUUCUUUAACCUUUGUAUAUUCCUAUGAUUGUCAGAUAAUUAUAGUGUCAAUCGUUUAAUUUAAGCGAUGGUUAAGGAACUUGAUGUUGUUUCUGUUAGAUUUACUUCCUAAUUUUGUUGCUAACUUAUAAAUCGUUAUUGUUGCCAUUGAUAUCCUUGGCCAACAUGAAGGGAGAAUCAUAAUAAUUUUUUUUUUUUUUUUUGUGUAAUUUGUAACCAGAUCCAUUUAAAUAUAUGAAGGUGUUGAGUGGACGAACCUUGAUUUUUUAUGUACUUAGUUGGAAUCUUGAUUAGAUUAUUGUUAUUUGUACUUUCUUGAUUUUUUUAUUUUUUUUUUAAUGAUUGAUAUAUUCGAUUUCUUUAAUAUGUCUGUGAUUUGAUCUUCUCAAUUUUAUUUUAUUUAUUUAUUUUUUAUAACGGGGGAAUUCGCAGUCGCUAUCCUUCGAGUGCGCACUGGCUAAAAUUCUUUUAGCUAUAUUUUUGCUAGAUAAUCAAGAUGAGUAACUUAUCUACUGCUUUUUGCUGUUUCAUUAUGAAGGGAUUUAAGGAAGCCUUCAAGGCCUUUUGCAGUAAUAUUAUAUUCUCAAAUGGUUUAUUGGAUCCUUGGAGUGGCAACAAGUAACCUUUGAAAUAAACGAGUUCAUUAAACUGUAAUUGCCAAAUCAUUAAUUGUAACAAGUGAUAUCCAAGUAUGGCAUGAAACAACUCUAUUUUUUCUUAGUAUUAUGACCAACUAUGUAAAUAUCUGUGAACCCACA